UGGGUACAAAGUAGAGGUGAGGACCUCUAUUUAUAGGGCUUUGGGAAGCCUUCACAUACUUCCACUUAUGGCUGGAAUACUCUAGAAACAUUAUUUAAGGUUCACCAUUCUACUCAUAGCUACUCACAACUAGAAGACUCUAGAAAACAGUAGGUAGGAUAAAAAAAAGAAAAGAAAUACUAGACCACAACAGAAGUAUCUAGAAGUAGCCAAACAGAUUUGACAUAUGAUUAUAUUUUCAUGUUCCUCAUCUAUUGUUCCUCAUCAUUCUCCCCUGGUUGUUUGGAACUCGCCCUCGAGUUAUCUUCAUAGAGCGCUUCUUCUGGAUGGUAGAGAGUCAAGUCCGCAACAUUGAAAGUGUUGGAGAUACCCAUGUCACUUGGACGAUCUAUCACAUAAGCAUUAUCAUUUAUCUUCCUCACGAUAGAGAAGGGCCCAUACCUUCGCUGCCUAAGUUUCCCUUUAACACCUAAAGGCAGCCUCUCUUUUCGGAGGUAGACCAUCACCUCAUCACCGGCUUGGAAUGAUUUUGGCCUCCUUUUGCAAUCAGCAAGUUGUUUAUAUUUCUGAUUUUGUGCUUCCAAAGCACCGCGAAUCUCUUCAAAUAACUCGGUGUAAUUAUUAGCAAAGGACAAUGCUGAUUUUGAGUUUUCCCCUUGAUGGUAGCUUCACCAGGUCCACCACAUGUGAUGGAACUUUAGUGUAGACAAUGGAAAAAGGGCUCCUUCCCGUGGAUCUAUGCUUGGAGUUAUUGUAGGAGAAUUCUGCAAGAGAUAAAGCCAAAUCCCAUUGUCCCUUUCUUUCUCCACAAAUGCAACGGAUCAGAUUACCCCAAAACUUGUUCACCACUUUCGUUUGUCCAUCUGUUUGUGGAUGAGCAGUGCUAGAAAAUUUCAACUCAGUGUUGAAUUGCUUCCACAAAGUGAGCCAAAAUGCCGCAAGAAACUUGCUAUCACGGUCUGAGACGAUGGACCUUGAUACUCCAUGAAGUCUGACCACUUGUCGAAAGAAUAGGUUUGCCACAUGAUGAGCAUCCGUUGUUUUGCAGCAUGGGAUGAAAUGAGCCAUCUUAGAGAAUCUAUCCACGACCACAAAUAGAGCAUCACUUCCUCGCCUUGUUCUUGGCAAGCCCAAGACAAAGUCCAUAGAGAUGUCCUCCCAUGGAGCGACAGGAACAGGCAAAGGCAUGUAUAACCCUGUGUUCUAGACUUGGCCUUUGCAGGUUUGACAUAUUGGGCAUCGCUGAACAAACUUUCCAGCAUCUCUUUUUAGUUGUGGCCAAAAGUAGCGAGCUUCCAGGCUAGCGAUAGUCUUGUCCCGUCCAACAUGGCCACUAAGAUCACUUGAAUGGAGCUCUUUAACCAACUUGUCACGUAGAGAACUUCUUGGAAUGCACAAACAAUCAUUUUUGAAGAGAUAUCCAUCUUGCAUCAAAUAGUCAUCGCCUAAUGGUUGGCCCCUUGCGUGCUUUACCAAAACAUGGCCAAAGUCUUCGUCACCCUCAUACAACUCCUUUAUUUGAUCCAUGCCCGGAAGUUCAGCUUCAAAAGAAGUCAAGAGGCAUGCACGACGACUCAAAGCAUCGGCCACUCUAUUAGUUAUUCCAGAUUUAUGCACGAUGAGAUAGUUAAACCUCUCCAGAUAUGUUGCCCAUCUUGCUAGCAUGCGGUCAACAUGCUUUUGAUUUCUAAAAUACUUCAAGGAUUGAUGGUCGCUAUAAAUAAUGAAUUCUUUAGGCAGCAAAUAGACUUCCCAAGUUUUCAACGCUCUGAAAACGGCGUAUAAUUCUUGCUGAUAGGUACUCCAUUUCUGUCUAGCUUCACUUAACUUCUCACUAAAGAAAGCAAUGGGCUUCCUUUCUUGAGAUAGGACAGCUCCAAUGCCUACUCCACUUGCAUCACACUCCAACUCAAAAGUAUUGUUGAAAUCAGGUAGUACCAAGACAGGAGCUUGUGAUAGCUUUUGUUUAAUCUCAUUGAAGCUAGCUUCAGCUGCUUCUGCCCAUUGGAACUUUCCUUUCUUCAAACACUCGGUAAUUGGUGCCAUGAUAGUGCUGAAAUUCUUAACAAAUCGACUAUAGAAAGUUGCAAGGCCAUGAAAGCUUCUUACCUCAGAAAUGGUCUUAGGAGUUGGCCAUUCUCGGAUUGCUUCAACCUUAGAAUCAUCAACACGAAUGCCGUCACAUGUUAUGACGAAUCCUAGGAAAAGAAGUUGAGUUUGCAGGAAAACACAUUUCUUCAAGUUGACGUAGAGCUCAUUUUCCCUUAGUACUUCUAACACCUUCCGAAUGUGAUCAAAGUGUUCAUCCUCAUCCUUGCUAUAGAUCAAGAUGUCAUCGAAAUAGACCACAACAAAGUGGGAUAAGAAGGGUCUAAGGACUUGAUUUAUUAAGUGCAUAAAGGUACUUGGUGCAUUUGAGAGUCCAAAUGGCAUGACUAGCCAUUCAAACAACCCUUCCUUUGUCUUGAAGGCGGUCUUCCAUUCAUCCCCAGGUCUUAUACGGAUUUGAUGAUAUCCACUUCUUAAAUCUAGCUUUGUGAACACUCUUGCUCCACUAAGUUGAUCCAACAUAUCAUCCAGACGGGGAAUAGGGAAUCUAUACCUUAUGGUGAUCUUGUUAACGGCUCUACUGUCCGUACACAUGCGCCAAGAUCCAUCUUUCUUUGGCGCGAGUAGGGCUGGUACAGCACAUGGGCUAAUACUUUCUCGAAUGUGCCCCUUCUGCAACAAUUCCUCCACUUUCUCCUUCAAUAUAUCAUGCUCCUUUGGGCUCAUUCGAUAGUGUGGAAGAUUAGGAAGACUUGCUCCCGGAAUUAAGUCAAUACUAUGUUGAAUUCCUCUCAUCGGUGGCAAGCCAUGUGGCUCCCCAAGUAUGUUCUGAAAUUCUGCCAAUAAACCACGUACCUUUGCUGGAAUUUCGACAGUCAGGUGCUCUUCUCCUUUUACAACAAGUGCAGCACACAAAUCUGCCUCCUUCAAGUCUUCCAUAAACUCAUGAGAGGUAUGGGAGAUAGUUAACAUAGUUUUCCCCUCCUCAGAGGUAUUACCUUCGGUUUUGUUUGGUAAAAUAAUGAUCUUUCUCUUGUUCCAAAUGAAAGAGUAAGAAUUUUCCUUGCCCUUGUGUGUAGUAUCCACAUCAAAUUGCCAAGGUCUCCCAAGAAGAACAUGGCUGACAUCCAUGUCAACCACAUCACACAACACAUUUGAGCGAUAAUGCUUGCCCAAAGGAAGUGGCAGGUUGCAUUGUUUGGUGAUCCUCAUAUUCACUCCUUUCUUGAUCCACCCAAUAGUGUAGGGGUUUGGAUGAUCAUGAAUAUCAAGCUUUAAAUGGUUCACCAACUUCUGGGAGAUAAGAUUCUCACAACUGCAACUAUCAAUCACUAAUUUGCAUACCUUGCCAUUCACCGUGCAUUUGCUCUCAAAUAUUUUCUUCCGUUGUGUGUUGUCAGGUUGUGGUGUGGAACAUAGGAGACGCUGGAUCACACAUACCACCUCUUCACCUUCUUCUUGACAAACCUCUUGCCCCUCUACAUCUUCAGAUUCGUAUUCUUCCUCAUCGUCUUCACCAUCAAGGAUAGUUGUGUUAACAAAUUUCCUUAGUGGGCAGCCGCUGGAUAUGUGUCCCUCUUCGCCACAUUUAUAGCAUUUUGGGCCUUCAUUGGACUUACCCUUGCCUCUAGUUUGCUUCUGGAUGGGUCGUUUUGCCUUAGGUGGAGCGGUCUUUCCUUCCACUCUAUUAGGGUGACUCCUAGACGAGCCUUUGGUAUAAGGAUAUGGAGGAUAUGGAGCCUUAGUUGCCUUUCUUGUCCUCACAAACCUCUCGGCCUUUAAGGCUAGAGCUUGUGCUUGAUCAGCGGACCAGAUUUGUUGCAUCAUCAAUCGAUCUUGAAUAGCAUCAUUGAGACCAUUGAUGUACCUUGCAACUUGUUGAUCUUCAGUUUCAGCAAGGUUGCACCUCACUUGUAGCCUUAGAAACUCCUCCGUGUAAUCUGAAACAGUCCUACUUCCUUGAGCACAAUUUUGAAAUUGGAUAAAUAGGAUCUGGUCAUAAUCAACGGGCAAAAAUCUCCCUUUCAAGAGACUUUUCAUUUGCCGCCAAGUUCUCACACGAGGUUCUCCUCUCAGCCUGCGCUCUUCUUGAGCGCGAUGCCACCAUGCACCGGCUCCUCCUUUCAGCUUGUAUGCGACCAAAGGAACUCUACGAUCUUCCGAAACCUCCAUGACCUCAAAGAAUGUCUCCACUUCAUAUAACCAAUCUAGGCACCCUUCAAUAUCAACAUUUCCAUUAAAAGUUGGGAUCUCAGCUUUCACCUUGUAUGUAUCCCUUGCAUAUGUAGGGUUGGGUACUCCCCGAUAUGCAUAGAGAUCAGCUUCUUCAAGGGCUUCAUCAUAUUCUUCACCUCCAGAAGUUUCAACAUAAAUUGGCCUUCUUGAAGCACGUUGAACAACACGUUGUUGUGGCGGUCUUGCUCCAAGAUCACCUCUCCUUUGAUGAACAUCUUCUUUAGAUGAAUCUCCUUCAUUGGUAGCAGGGGGAACACCCUUCCUUAUCAUCUCAACCAGCUGAUCAAAUCUACGAUUAAGAUCUUCACGCAGCUCUUUGAUUUGUUGUUCUGCAACAUCCAUCCUCUUCUUCAAUUGCUCCAUUGCUUGCUGCAGCUUGCUCUCGAAGAGGACAGCAAGAACUAGUAUGGGUCAACGAGGCUCUGAUACCACCUCGAGCAGCACAAAGGUUGUGGAGGAGCAACUCCACCUUGCUGCUAUAAUGUGUACAACACAAGUGUUGAAGGAACAGCUUCAACGUUCUGCACUAGAUACCGCUCUAGAGGUAAAUGUAGGCUGAUAGGGCAGCAAGAGUUCAAUCCAGAACUCCUAGGGCACAAGAUCUACUCCAAGAUCUUAGAUAAGAACAACAAGUUCUAUUAUAGGUAGGGGUACAUAGUCUGGGUACAAAGUAGAGGUGAGGACCUCUAUUUAUAGGGCUUUGCGAAGCCUUCACAUACUUCUACUUAUAACGGAAUACUCUAGAAACAUUAUUUAAGGUUCACCAUUCUACUCAUAGCUACUCACAACUAGAAGACUCUAGAAAACAGUAGGUAGGAUAAAGAAAAGAAAAGAAAUACUAGAACACAACAGAAGUAUCUAAAAGUAGUCAAACAUAUUUGACAUAUGAUUAUAUUUUCAUGUUCCUCAUCUAUUGUUACUCAUCAGGGAACCAAGCAAAAUCACAUGAUGUCGACAAGCAUGGAACAGAGCAAGAACCGACCCACCAAGCAGCGGCAGAGGCGCCGUUCAAAAUCGGCAAGUAGGGGCACUGACAGCCAGCUCCUGGAAACAACAGCGGGAUCAUCGCCAAGACCGCAAUGGAGGCCAACAGCUAGUGAGGAAGAUAGGUGACGGGGCGCGGAUGCUUCGCUCUGGGACGGUGGCGGCUAGGGUGGGUUGGCGGCUGACGAGCGAGACACGUGGCGCGGCAGGCAUGCUUCGAUGUGGGGCACCGGCAGCCAGUUCCUCGGGCGGGUGGAUUUCCAUAAUUUGUUGUACCUUGAGCCAAUGGAGAGAAAUUCUAACCAUAAUGAACUUUUUAAGUAAAUUUCCAAAUCCAACCACCAGUGUAGCCACCAAACUUAGAAGUAACCUUUCAAGAG
rnacentral:lncRNA from 1 species